AGCAGGUGACAGAUGCUUUGGUCAGUCCAGCCUCACAACCAGGUUUUACAUUUGAAUAUUCCAGAAAACUAAAAAGGGAGAAUUGACAGAAGAAAGGUGAGCUUUGGAACCUGCUAGUGUUGGAGGCGGGGCACCAGCCCGUAGACCUACAUCCCCUGUUUGGAUCUCAGAGUACAACAAACUCUGAAAGGUUUCCCAAUUCAUUUGUAGUAAACUCUGACCUAACAAGUGUGAGAUGACAUAAACUCAUCUGUCCUGCCUGGUGUGAGUGACCGUGUAUUUCAUUGUGGAGAUAGCAUCGAAUUUGAUUAUAGAACACUUCUGUAGAUCCCUCCUAGAGGCACUACAGAAUAAGCUGUCUUCCAAGUAUUGUAUCGAGAGGCAGACAGGGAGAGGCGUGAAUUCUAAAGCCCACGUUAUUUGGCUCCAUUUCUUUGAUGCAGGGGAUGUAAACUCCGUGAUUUGGACAGGGGUGAAAGUGAAGGGAAAGCGAGAGCCUGAGUUGGUGGUACCUAAAGAGGGAUUCAGACUAAUGGAACUUCCCCCCAAGAAUAGGGGAGUAGUUUGAAUGUGCCUUGCAUACAGUUUAAAGAGGAACAGGUAGAACAUGAUACUACCCCUUCCCACCUCAGCAACAACUUUUACAGUAAUAUCUUGGAGAACCUAGGGGUGGGAAGGAGAAAUGGCUGGCAGUGGUCUGUGAGAAUAAGUCGGGUAUCCUCUGAGAUGGCAGAAGGAAAGGGAUCAGUAUCUUCUGAGAUUGACUCCAUGAAAGCUGGAAACACAGGCUGACCUGAGAAUAACGACGUUUCUGACAGGACUAGGAGCAGUGUCAUAAACCAUGAGGAGUCUGUGGGGCUGUCUCUCCCGAGAACAUGUGGUAUGCUCCAUCAGUCCCCAUCUGUCCCCUUCUACGAGAAACAGAAGCACUGUAGGUCACGGGAGCUAGGGAUGAUGGAAAGUCAGUGAGAAAAAGGAUCCCAGUUCUUCAUACCAGUGACGGUCACAUGAGGAGACUAAAAGUACUGGUCUCUUCAGGGGCUGGGGGACGAGGUGACAUUCAAGUGGGUACACCUGAAAGGAGGAUAAGAGCUAACCAUGGCUGAAGUAAAAUGGAAGUCUGAUCAGACCUUUGGAGACAGUAAUUACUAGCUCUUCACAGCCUUUGAAGUCACUCAGGGAAACAACCAGAUUACGGCUGGGAAGGAAGAGCUAUUCAGAAGCCAGAUCUUCACUGAUGUAAAAGACUGUGUGGCGACUACGGGAUGCUGGCGAAGCUCCACAAAAGGAGAGGAGAUGGACAGGAAUGUUGUUAUUUAUAGUCCUUGUCCUUCAUGAAAGGAAUUAAGGACCAGGAAUAUGGAAGUAGGAACUGGAGGAGAGACCAUGGGAGAAUGUUUCUUACUCAGUCUCUCCUCAUGGCUUGCACAGACUGCUUUCUUAUACACACCCGGCCACCUGCCUAGGUGGGCAGCUCUGCUCCCAGUGGUCUGGACCCUUCCACAUCAGGCAUUAGCCAUGAUAAUGUCCCACAGGCUUGCCUGCAGGCCAAUUUGAUGAGGGCUUUUUCUCAGUUGAGGUUCCCUCUUCUCCUCUGAUAGCUCUAACUUAAGUUGACAAAAAAAC
rnacentral:lncRNA from 1 species